AGCUGAGUGGCGCAGCGGAAGCGUAAGUUCAACUACUAGUUUGGCUUCUCCAAUAUACACUAACUCCAAUUAGGCGCCGGGCUCAUAACCCGGAGGGCACUGGAUCGAAACCAGUCUUAGCUA